UGCAUUCGGACGCGGCUUCGGCCGUGGUGGGCGGGGCGACCGUGGAGGCCCACGUGGCCGUCGCCGCGCUGGACGCAGAGAGGAAGAAGAGAAGUGGGUCCCAGUCACGAAACUCGGCCGUCUGGUGAGAGAAGGCAAGAUCAGGAGCCUCGAGCAAAUCUACCUCCACUCGCUCCCAAUCAAGGAGUAGCAAAUCAUCGACACGCUUAUCGACCACAAAUUGAAGGACGAGGUUCAAGGCCUUCGUCGUCGUCGGUGACACGGACGGCCACGUGGGUCUUGGCGUUAAGUGCUCCAAAGAGGUUGCCACUGCCAUCCGUGGCGCUAUCAUAUUGGCGAAGCUGUCGGUGAUUCCGGUGAGAAGGGGUUACUGGGGUAACAAGAUCGGGAGGCCACACACCGUGCUGUGUAAGGUGACCGGUAAGUGUGGCAGUGCCACCGUGAGGAUGGUUCCGGAC
rnacentral:lncRNA from 1 species